rnacentral:rRNA from 1 species
UACGAAGGGGGCUAGCGUUGCUCGGAAUCACUGGGCGUAAAGCGUACGUAGGCGGCUUUUUAAGUCAGGGGUGAAAUCCUGGAGCUCAACUCCAGAACUGCCUUUGAUACUGGCGAUCUCGAGUCCGGGAGAGGUGAGUGGAACUGCGAGUGUAGAGGUGAAAUUCGUAGAUAUUCGCAAGAACACCGGUGGCGAAGGCGGCUCACUGGCCCGGUACUAACGCUGAGGUGCGAAAGCGUGGGGAGCAAACAGG